GAGGGUACAGCUCAAAUGGUAGAGCACAUGCUUAGCAUGCACAAGGUCCUGGGUUCAAUCCCCAGUACCUUCA
rnacentral:tRNA from 1 species